rfam:Gorilla gorilla gorilla genomic chromosome, chr13, whole genome shotgun sequence
AAAAAGGUGUUUCUAGACACCACUAAAAAUAACCCUUGAGCAGCAA